rnacentral:rRNA from 1 species
GACAGAGGGGGCAAGCGUUGCUCGGAAUCACUGGGCGUAAAGGGCGCGUAGGCGGGAUGGCAAGUCGGUCGUGAAAUCCCUCGGCUCAACCGAGGAGCGUCGGCCGAUACUGCCGUUCUUGAGGGAUGCAGAGGAGACUGGAAUUCCCGGUGUAGCGGUGAAAUGUGUAGAGAUCGGGAGGAACACCGGUGGCGAAGGCGGGUCUCUGGGCAUCUCCUGACGCUGAGGCGCGAAAGCGUGGGGAGCAAACGGG